rnacentral:rRNA from 1 species
GACGAACGCUGGCGGUGUGCUUAACACAUGCAAGUCGAACGGUAAGGCCCUUUCGGGGGUCCACGAGUGGCGAACGGGUGAGUAACACGUGAGUAACCUGCCCUCAUCUCUGGGAUAACAGUCGGAAACGGUUGCUAAUACUGGAUAUGAGCUUGCAAGGCAUCUUGUGGGUUGGAAAGAUUUUUUUUGGUUGGGGAUGGACUCGCGGCCUAUCAGCUUGUUGGUGAGGUAGUGGCUCACCAAGGCUUCGACGGGUAGCCGGCCUGAGAGGGCGACCGGCCACAUUGGGGCUGAGAUACGGCCCAAACUCCUACGGGAGGCAGCAGUGGGGAAUAUUGCACAAUGGACGGAAGUCUGAUGCAGCAACGCCGCGUGCGGGAUGACGGCCUUCGGGUUGUAAACCGCUUUCAAUUGUGACGAAGCUUUUUUGUGACGGUAGCAGUAGAAGAAGCACCGGCUAACUACGUG